UACAGGACGAACGCUGGCGGCGUGCCUAACACAUGCAAGUCGAGCGAGGAGAGUCCUUCGGGAUGAUCCUAGCGGCGGACGGGUGAGUAACACGUGGGCAACCUGCCUCAUAGAGAGGAAUAGCCUUCCGAAAGGGAGAUUAAUACCUCAUAACAUUGCAGUUUCGCAUGGAACAGCAAUUAAAGGAGUAAUCCGCUAUGAGAUGGGCCCGCGGCGCAUUAGCUAGUUGGUGAGGUAAUGGCUCACCAAGGCGACGAUGCGUAGCCGACCUGAGAGGGUGAUCGGCCACAUUGGGACUGAGACACGGCCCAGACUCCUACGGGAGGCAGCAGUGGGGAAUAUUGCACAAUGGGGGAAACCCUGAUGCAAGCAACGCCGCGUGAGUGAUGACGGCCUUCGGGUUGUAAAGCUCUGUCUUCAGGGACGAUAAUGACGGUACCUGAGGAGGAAGCCACGGCUAACUACGUGCCAGCAGCCGC
rnacentral:rRNA from 1 species